rnacentral:rRNA from 1 species
CAUGUCCUUUAGAAUUUAAUUUAAGGUCUUAACCUGCCCACUGAUAAAAUUAAAUGGCCGCAGUAUUUUAACUGUGCAAAGGUAGCAUAAUCAUUAGUCUUUUAAUUGAAGGCUUGUAUGAAUGGUUGGACGAAAUAUUAACUGUUUCAUAAAAAUUUGUUUAGAAUUUUAUUUUUUAGUUAAAAAGCUAAAAUUUUUUUAAAAGACGAGAAGACCCUAUAGAUCUUUAUAAUUUAUUUGUUAUAGUUAUAUAGAUUAUUUAAAUUAUGAUUUUAUAAGUUAUUUUGUUGGGGUGACAUUAAAAUUUAAUAAACUUUUAAUAAAUUUUUACAUUAAUUUAUGAUUAAUUGAUCCAUUAUUAGUGAUUAUAAAAUUAAGUUACCUUAGGGAUAACAGCGUAAUUUUUUUGAAGAGUUCAUAUCGAUAAAAAAGAUUGCGACCUCGAUGUUGGAUUAAGAUAUAAUUUUGGGUGCAGCAAUUCAAUAAUUAAGUCUGUUCGACUUUUAAUUUCUUACUGU